GACGAACGCUGGCGGCGUGCUUAACACAUGCAAGUCGAACGGAAAGGCCCUGCUUGCAGGGUACUCGAGUGGCGAACGGGUGAGUAACACGUGGGUGAUCUGCCCUGCACUUCGGGAUAAGCCUGGGAAACUGGGUCUAAUACCGGAUAGGAGCCAUUUUUAGUGUGAUGGUUGGAAAGUUUUUUCGGUGUAGGAUGAGCUCGCGGCCUAUCAGCUUGUUGGUGGGGUAAUGGCCUACCAAGGCGGCGACGGGUAGCCGGCCUGAGAGGGUGGACGGCCACAUUGGGACUGAGAUACGGCCCAGACUCCUACGGGAGGCAGCAGGGGGGAAUAUUGCACAAUGGGCGCAAGCCUGAUGCAGCGACGCCGCGUGGGGGAUGACGGCCUUCGGGUUGUAAACUCCUUUCGCUAGGGACGAAGCUUUUUGUGACGGUACCUAGAUAAGAAACACCGGCUAACUACGUG
rnacentral:rRNA from 1 species